UAGGCUACUAGGGGUUCUUGACUCGAAAACUCAAACUCAGCGAAGCCUACAAAUGGGCUUGUGCACAGGUUUUUUGUUUAUGCCUAUCCCCGCCCAAGGUAGAUUUUAAAUUUUCUUACUUCACCCCAGAAACCCUCUAUUCAUGCCCAUCAUGUUUUUCUUUUCCUCAUCCCCUCCCGAAACCUCUUCGACUUUUCUUUUAUUCUACUUUCUGUACCUUUAAACAAGGAACCCUUGUUGACUUUUCCAGUAGUUCCACUGAUCUACUAGUUAAAGUGAUUGAUUAUGCUAAGGUGCUGUAGCCAAGAAACUUUGCGUUCCAAAAUUGAAGAAUAGAGCCCAACUAAAGACCGAUUGACAGCAGUCUCAACUCUCAAGGUUGAACAUGCUAAAGGAGAUACUUUACAUGUGCGGAUGGAGACAAAUUUGAUUAAAUUUUAUACGUCAAGUUUUUCUUUUGGAUUGAGUGUCAUGUAUUCAAGAACUUUGCUAAAAUUGUAAUAGAUUUUAAACACAUAAAUGUAUUAAAGCACCUUGAGAUUCAAUUCAAUUUUUAAUUAUUUAA